rnacentral:rRNA from 1 species
GAUGAACGCUGGCGGCGUGCCUAAUACAUGCAAGUCGAGCGAACAGACGAGGAGCUUGCUCCUCUGACGUUAGCGGCGGACGGGUGAGUAACACGUGGAUAACCUACCUAUAGGACUGGGAUAACUUCGGGAAACCGGAGCUAAUACCGGAUAAUAUAUUGAACCGCAUGGUUCAAUAGUGAAAGACGGUUUUGCUGUCACUUAUAGAUGGAUCCGCGCCGCAUUAGCUAGUUGGUAAGGUAACGGCUUACCAAGGCAACGAUGCGUAGCCGACCUGAGAGGGUGAUCAGCCACACUGGAACUGAGACACGGUCCAGACUCCUACGGGAGGCAGCAGUAGGGAAUCUUCCGCAAUGGGCGAAAGCCUGACGGAGCAACGCCGCGUGAGUGAUGAAGGUCUUCGGAUCGUAAAACUCUGUUAUUAGGGAAGAACAAAUGUGUAAGUAACUAUGCACGUCUUGACGGUACCUAAUCAGAAAGCCACGGCUAACUACGUG